CAUCUUCAGUUCGCUGUUCUCGGUAGAGAGCCCAGCAGUGUCUCUCUGUGUCAUUAACCAACGUGGCAAAGGGAGCAAGGUUAGCUAUCUGAACAAGGUUAUCUUCAGGGCCACGGCAUUCAUCCAUAUGUGGUCGCUACUCACUCCGACGGAGGCCAGGGAGCGUUUGAUUACUGCGUCUACCCGAUGGGAGAUGGUAGCGCGGGAUAUUUUCAACCGGUUUGGAUGGCGGUCAUGUAAUAGGAUAGGCAUGUAGGGCUCCUAUUGUGUUUGCCAGCCGGUUGUGGCUUUGGGUUGUAGCUCUUUCGAGCUUUUUGUUUAUCUUCGCACCUCGAUACUUGGCGACUUUGUUA